rnacentral:rRNA from 1 species
AGAGUUUGAUCCUGGCUCAGAGUGAGCGCUGGCGGCGUGCCUAACACAUGCAAGUCGAACGCGAAAGUUAUCUUCGGAUGGCGAGUAGAGUGGCAGACGGGUGAGUAAUACAUAGGUAAUCUACCUUUGAGUGGGGGACAACAUGCCGAAAGGUAUGCUAAUCCCGCAUAACAUCCCGCAACAUAAGUUGUGUGAUCAAAGGGGGGGAUUCUUCGGAACCUCUCGCUUGAAGAUGAGCCUGUGUCCUAUUAGCUAGUUGGUGGGGUAAUGGCCUACCAAGGCUCUGAUGGGUAGCCGAGCUGAGAGGCUGAUCGGCCACACUGGAACUGAUACACGGUCCAGACUCCUACGGGAGGCAGCAGUGGGGAAUUUUGCGCAAUGGACGAAAGUCUGACGCAGCGACGCCGCGUGAGGGAUGAAGGUCUUCGUGAUCGUAAACCUCUGUCAGGAAGGAUUAACGUAUUUUGGUUAAUACCCAAGGUGCUUGACUUAACUUCCAAAGGAAGCCCCGGCUAACUACGUGCCAGCAGCCGCGGUAAUACGCAGGGGGCAAGCGCUACUCGGAUUUACUGGGCGUAAAGCGAGCGUAGGCGGUCUGAUAAGUCAGGGGUGAAAUCCCUCAGCUCAACUGAGGAACUGCCCUUGAUACUGUUAGACUAGAGGACAGGAGAGGAAAGUGGAAUUCCCGGUGUAGCGGUGGAAUGCGUAGAUAUCGGGAGGAACACCAGAGGCGAAAGGCGACUUUCUGGACUGAUCCUGACGCUGAGGUUCGAAA